GCAUAUCAAUAAGCGGAGGAAAAGAAACCAACAGGGGAUUGCCCUUAGUAACGGCGAAGUGAAGCGGCAACAGCUCAAAUUUGAAAUCUGGCCCCCGGGUCCGAGUUGUAAUUUGUAGAGGAUGCUUUUGGUGCGGUACCUUCCGAGUUCCCUGGAACGGGACGCCAUAGAGGGUGAGAGCCCCGUCUGGUUGGACGCCAAUCCUUUGUAAAGCUCCUUCAACGAGUCGAGUAGUUUGGGAAUGCUGCUCUAAAUGGGAGGUAUAUGUCUUCUAAAGCUAAAUAUUGGCCAGAGACCGAUAGCGCACAAGUAGAGUGAUCGAAAGAUGAAAAGCACUUUGAAAAGAGAGUUAAAAAGUACGUGAAAUUGUUGAAAGGGAAGCGCUCAUGACCAGACUUGGGCUCGGUUGAUCAUCCAGGGUUCUCCCUGGUGCACUCUCCCGGCCCAGGCCAGCAUCAGUUCGCCGCGGGGGACAAAGGCGUCGGGAAUGUGGCUCCCUCGGGAGUGUUAUAGCCCGUCGUGCAAUACCCUGUGGUGGACUGAGGUUCGCGCAUUCGCAAGGAUGCUGGCGUAAUGGUCAUCAGCGACCCGUCUUGAAACACGGACCAAGGAGUCGUCUUCGUAUGCGAGUGUUCGGGUGUCAAACCCCUACGCGUAAUGAAAGUGAACGCAGGUGAGAGCUUCGGCGCAUCAUCGACCGAUCCUGAUGUUCUCGGAUGGAUUUGAGUAAGAGCAUACGGGGCCGGACCCGAAAGAAGGUGAACUAUGCCUGUAUAGGGUGAAGCCAGAGGAAACUCUGGUGGAGGCUCGCAGCGGUUCUGACGUGCAAAUCGAUCGUCAAAUAAUGGGCAUGGGGGCGAAAGACUAAUCGAACCUUCUAGUAGCUGGUUUCCGCCGA
rnacentral:rRNA from 1 species